rnacentral:sRNA from 1 species
GCCAGGUGCAGUGGCGCACACCUGUAAUCCCAGCAGUUUGGGAGGCUGAGACAGGAGAAUCGAGAAUCCAAAGCCAGCCUUUAGCAACUGUGAGGCUCUAAGCAACUCAGUGAGACCCUGUCUCCA